AUGACAUCACAAAACACACAGGAAGAGCCAAAAACUGUUUCGCCGAAGAUAAAAGGAGAGGCCAAACAUAAGAGAUGUAAACAGGAUUUGAAAAGAAAGGCUUUGCGAAAUAAAAAAAAGUUCUUACAGAGAGCAAUCUAUUCGAUAAUGAGGUUUCAAAUUACUUACGCUCAUCUAUAUAUACUAAAAAUAAUAAUCCAUGACAGUGUAUCGGUCAUUUCCCACUGUGGUCUAAUUUUGUAUGCAUUUGAUCUUAUAUAUGUACUCCAUAAUACAUUGUUAAAUAUGGCGAUGAUAUACAAGCUUAAUAUCUACCAUGCAUUUAUGGAAAUUUAUGAAUGUUUCAAUAAUAACAUUGUUCUUGCAUUUAUGCAGCGAGACAACAAUAGUCACGCCGACAACAACUGUACCAGCACAGAUGACCGUAAUGAAGAAUGGAACGCCAAAACUAGAAGCAGAACAAAGAAGGAAAGGACCGAUUGCAUAAAGAGGAGGAAAAUAUCAUCUGAAGACAUGCAGCCAACCUUGUAUGAUAGACCUAAGAGGAUUAGGAGAGAACCAGCGAGAUACAUGGGCUAG
rnacentral:rRNA from 1 species